AGAGUUUGAUCCUGGCUCAGGAUGAACGCUAGCGGCAGGCUUAACACAUGCAAGUCGAGGGGCAGCAUAAUGGAUAGCAAUAUCUAUGGUGGCGACCGGCGCACGGGUGCGUAACGCGUAUGCAACCUACCUUUAACAGGGGGAUAACACUGAGAAAUUGGUACUAAUACCCCAUAAUAUCAUAGAAGGCAUCUUUUAUGGUUGAAAAUUCCGAUGGUUAGAGAUGGGCAUGCGUUGUAUUAGCUAGUUGGUGGGGUAACGGCUCACCAAGGCGACGAUACAUAGGGGGACUGAGAGGUUAACCCCCCACACUGGUACUGAGACACGGACCAGACUCCUACGGGAGGCAGCAGUGAGGAAUAUUGGUCAAUGGACGCAAGUCUGAACCAGCCAUGCCGCGUGCAGGAUGACGGCUCUAUGAGUUGUAAACUGCUUUUGUACGAGGGUAAACGCAGAUACGUGUAUCUGUCUGAAAGUAUCGUACGAAUAAGGAUCGGCUAACUCCGUGCCAGCAGCCGCGGUAAUACGGAGGAUUCAAGCGUUAUCCGGAUUUAUUGGGUUUAAAGGGUGCGUAGGCGGUUUGAUAAGUUAGAGGUGAAAUUUCGGGGCUCAACCCUGAACGUGCCUCUAAUACUGUUGAGCUAGAGAGUAGUUGCGGUAGGCGGAAUGUAUGGUGUAGCGGUGAAAUGCUUAGAGAUCAUACAGAACACCGAUUGCGAAGGCAGCUUACCAAACUAUAUCUGACGUUGAGGCACGAAAGCGUGGGGAGCAAACAGGAUUAGAUACCCUGGUAGUCCACGCAGUAAACGAUGAUAACUCGUUGUCGGCGAUACACAGUCGGUGACUAAGCGAAAGCGAUAAGUUAUCCACCUGGGGAGUACGUUCGCAAGAAUGAAACUCAAAGGAAUUGACGGGGGCCCGCACAAGCGGAGGAACAUGUGGUUUAAUUCGAUGAUACGCGAGGA
rnacentral:rRNA from 1 species